rnacentral:lncRNA from 1 species
AAUUAACACAACAUUUUGGAAAUUAAUUUCCAGUGUUUCAAUGAGAUUGUUUGGAUCUUGGAGGACAUGGGAGGGGAAGAAGGGAGAGAAUUAUUAAAACUACUCUUUCUGCAGAAGAAACAUAGCUAUGUCAUUCCUACGCAAAUGUUUGUUAACUUCUCCUGGCAUAAAAACAGUGAUGUCAUUCUACACACCAGUCAGAAGACUUAUAAUGAACACCAAGUUUUUAAAUCACUGACAGCUUAAGAAAAUUAAGACUAUGACUCAGAAAUCUCCUCUCCCUAGAGUAUCACAUCUGUGGAAGAGGAGACUAUGCCCAGCUGGGGUUAUAUACAUACUCAACAUCAACAAAACUGAAGUCAUUUUCCCCUGCACAACAGAAAGAGUUGUUUUUUCCCCAUUAGAACUCUGAGAAAUGAAAGCCAUGACUUUAUACAGCUCUGUUUAAAAACACAAGAAGGGUGGUUCAUAUUCUAUUAGGAAAAGCAGCUCAACAUUAAAACUCCUCUUCCUUUUAAAACCUAAAAAAUGAUUAAAUUUCUUCUUACCUCUGAAAAUUAUUUUAUCUUUGCUUCAUUUUCUCUGCUCUAAAAUACAGACUAACACCUUUAAAGACAGUAUAUAAAGGAGCUUAUAAAUUUGAAUUUGCAAUGUGACCCUCACACCAAAAGUAGACUGAAUUUUUUCUCUCCAACAGUAAGCAUAAAAUAUCUAA